GUAGGUGGUAAUGUAAGCGAACAGUGAAAUCGUCUCGCUCAACGGGACGGCUGUUAUUCGAACUGCAUAACUUGAGUGCGAGAGAGGUAGCUGGAAUCUCUAGUGUAGGAGUGAAAUCCGUAGAUAUUAGAAGGAACACCAAUGGCGAAGGCAGGCUACUGGCUCGUUACUGACACUGAGGCACGAAAGCGUGGGGAGCGAACGGGAUUAGAUACCCCGGUAGUCCACGCCGUAAACGAUGAAUGCUAGCUGUAAGAGGCAUCGAUCCUUUUUGUAGCGAAGCUAACGCGUUAAGCAUUCCGCCUGGGGAGUACGGUCGCAAGAUUAAAACUCAAAGGAAUUGACGGGGACCCGCACAAGCGGUGGAGCGUGUUGUUUAAUUCGACGAUAAGCGAAGAACCUUACCAAGGUUUGACAUCCUACCAAUCUUUCCGAAAGGAGAGAGUGCCUUCGGGCAAGUAGUGACAGGUGCUGCAUGGCCGUCGUCAGCUCGUGUCGUGAGAUGUUUGGUUAAGUCCAUCAACGAGCGCAACCCUUAUGUUUAGUUGAAUUUUUCUAAACAGACUGCCCUGGCAACAGGGAGGAAGGAGGGGAUGAUGUCAGGUCAGUAUUGCCCUUACACCUUGGGCUACAAACACGCUACAAUGGCCAGUACAAAGGGCAGCCAACCCGCGAGGGGGAGCAAAUCCCAUCAAAGCUGGUCUCAGUUCGGAUUGCAGGCUGAAACUCGCCUGCAUGAAGCUGGAAUCGCUAGUAAACGUAGGUCAGCACACUACGUUGAAUACGUUCCCGGGUCUUGUACACACCGCCCGUCAAACCACGAAAGUCGCCAACACCCGAAGUCCGAUUACGGCCUAAGGUGGGGGAGAUGAUUGGGGUU
rnacentral:rRNA from 1 species